UUUCCGUAGGUGAACCUGCGGAAGGAUCAUUAUCAAGUACAGCGGGCUUCGGCCCUGUCUGCACCCUUGUCUUUUGCGUACUGUCUGUUUCCUUGGUGGGCUUGCCCACCAAAAGGACACUAUACAACCACUUGUAAUAGCAAUCAGCGUCAGAUAACUAUAAUAGUUACAACUUUCAACAACGGAUCUCUUGGUUCUGGCAUCGAUGAAGAACGCAGC
rnacentral:misc_RNA from 1 species